rnacentral:tRNA from 14 species
GCCUAUAGCUCAGUUGGUUAGAGCAGGGGACUCAUAAUCCCUUGGUCGCAGGUUCGA